rnacentral:rRNA from 1 species
AGUUCCAGUGCCAGCGCGUCGCUUUGCUCCAGCGCCUUCUGCACGGUGGGCCCGGGCCGCACCCACUCGGCGCGCCCGAGAUGAAUGGUCCCGUAGAGCCAGGAAGUGCGCCCGUCGCGCUCGGCGCGCCACAGCAGGCCGCGGUCGGCCGCGUUCCACUGGCCGACGGCCGCGCCGGGCUUUCCGAGGCUGGCAAUGGCAGACGGCGGGCAGGCGGCCUGCGCCGCCAGCGCGAAGACGCAGCAGGCGCCGGCCAGCGCAAGGCGCGGCAGGCGCGAAAGCAGGGACGCACGCGCGGGCGUCUUCGUCUUCAAAAGGGUGUCGCGCCUCGGCGCAACCAGGAUCCGGAGUAUCCGCAAGGCUUGCUCCAAGGCUAAAUACUCAUCAUCGACCGAUAGUGAACUAGUACCGUGAGGGAAAGGCGAAAAGAACCCCGGGAGGGGAGUGAAAUAGAUCCUGAAACCGCGUGCUUACAAAAAGUAGGAGCCUCGUAAGGGGUGACUGCGUACCUUUUGUAUAAUGGGUCAGCGACUUACAUUCAGUGGCAAGGUUAACCGAAUAGGGAAGCCGUAGAGAAAUCGAGUCCGAAUAGGGCGAUCAGUCGCUGGGUGUAGACCCGAAACCAAGUGAUCUAUCCAUGGCCAGGAUGAAGGUGCCGUAACAGGUACUGGAGGUCCGAACCGACUAGUGUUGCAAAACUAGCGGAUGAGCUGUGGAUAGGGGUGAAAGGCUAAACAAACUUGGAAAUAGCUGGUUCUCUCCGAAAACUAUUUAGGUAGUGCCUCAAGUAUUACCAUCGGGGGUAGAGCACUGUUUUGGCUAGGGGGUCAUGGCGACUUACCAAACCAAGGCAAACUCCGAAUACCGAUGAGUACAGCUUGGGAGACAGAGCACCGGGUGCUAACGUCCGGACUCAAGAGGGAAACAACCCAGACCGCCAGCUAAGGUCCCUAAAAUUGGCUAAGUGGGAAACGAAGUGGGAAGGCUAAAACAGUCAGGAUGUUGGCUUAGAAGCAGCCAUCAUUUAAAGAAAGCGUAAUAGCUCACUGAUCGAGUCGUCCUGCGCGGAAGAUGUAACGGGGCUAAGCCAGUUACCGAAGCUGCGGAUUUGCAAUUUAUUGCAAGUGGUAGGAGAGCGUUCUGUAAGCCUGUGAAGGUGCGUUGUAAAGCGUGCUGGAGGUAUCAGAAGUGCGAAUGCUGACAUGAGUAGCGUUAAAGGGGGUGAAAAGCCCCCUCGCCGUAAGCGCAAGGUUUUCUACGCAACGUUCAUCGGCGUAGAGUGAGUCGGCCCCUAAGGCGAGGCAGAGAUGCGUAGCUGAUGGGAAACAGGUCAAUAUUCCUGUACCGUUAUAUAGUGCGAUGUGGGGACGGAUCUUAAUAGGUCAUCCGGGUGUUGGAUAUCCCGGUUUAGUUGGAUGUAGGCGUGCAUUAGGCAAAUCCGGUGCACAUAUACCGAGGCCAACGAUCGAGCGGACUUGUCCGUGAAGUGACUGAACGAGGUUCCAGGAAAAGCCACUAAGCUUCAGCUAUAUACGACCGUACCGCAAACCGACACUGGUGCGCGAGAUGAGUAUUCUAAGGCGCUUGAGAGAACUCAGGAGAAGGAACUCGGCAAAUUGACACCGUAACUUCGGAAGAAGGUGUGCCCUAUUAGUGUGUAGUGAACAACGAAGCAUGAAUGGGUUGCAAAAAAUCGGUGGCUGCGACUGUUUAUUAAAAACACAGCACUCUGCAAACACGAAAGUGGACGUAUAGGGUGUGACGCCUGCCCGGUGCUGGAAGAUUAAAUGAUGGGGUGCAAGCUCUUGAUUGAAGUCCCAGUAAACGGCGGCCGUAACUAUAACGGUCCUAAGGUAGCGAAAUUCCUUGUCGGGUAAGUUCCGACCUGCACGAAUGGCGUAACGAUGGCCACACUGUCUCCUCCUGAGACUCAGCGAAGUUGAAAUGUUUGUGAUGAUGCAAUCUCCCCGCGGAAAGACGGAAAGACCCCAUGAACCUUUACUGUAGCUUUGUAUUGGACUUUGAACAGAUCUGUGUAGGAUAGGUGGGAGGCUUUGAAGCAGGGUCGCUAGAUCUUGUGGAGCCAACGUUGAAAUACCACCCUGGUGUGUUUGAGGUUCUAACCUAGGUCCAUUAUCUGGAUCGGGGACAGUGCAUGGUAGGCAGUUUGACUGGGGCGGUCUCCUCCCAAAGCGUAACGGAGGAGUUCGAAGGUACGCUAGUUACGGUCGGACAUCGUGACGAUAGUGCAAUGGCAUAAGCGUGCUUAACUGCGAGACUGACAAGUCGAGCAGAUGCGAAAGCAGGACAUAGUGAUCCGGUGGUUCUGUAUGGAAGGGCCAUCGCUCAACGGAUAAAAGGUACUCUGGGGAUAACAGGCUGAUACCGCCCAAGAGUUCAUAUCGACGGCGGUGUUUGGCACCUCGAUGUCGGCUCAUCUCAUCCUGGGGCUGUAGCCGGUCCCAAGGGUAUGGCUGUUCGCCAUUUAAAGAGGUACGUGAGCUGGGUUUAAAACGUCGUGAGACAGUUUGGUCCCUAUCUUCCGUGGGCGCUGCAGAUUUGAGGAAGCCUGCUCCUAGUACGAGAGGACCGGAGUGGACACACCUCUGGUGUAUCGGUUGUCACGCCAGUGGCAUUGCCGAGUAGCUAAGUGUGGAAGAGAUAACCGCUGAAAGCAUCUAAGCGGGAAACUCGUUUCAAGAUGAGAUCUGCCGGGGCCUUGAGCCCCCUAAAGAGUCGUUCAAGACCAGGACGUUGAUAGGUCAGGUGUGGAAGCGCAGUAAUGCGUUAAGCUAACUGAUACUAAUUGCUCGUGCGGCUUGACC